rnacentral:rRNA from 1 species
UAGUCAUAUGCUUGUCUUUGAGAUUAAGCCAUGCAUGUCUAAGUACAUACCUUUAUACGGUGAAACCGCGAAUGGCUCAUUAAAUCAGCUUUGGUUCCUUGGAUCGUGCAUACUACAUGGAUAACUGUAGUAAUUCUAGAGCUAAUACAUGCCAUUAUGCCCUGACCCUCACGGGAAUGGGUGGAUUUAUUAGAACAGAACCAACCGGUGGCACUAGUUGCUGCCGUUGUAAUCUGUGAUGACUCUGGAUAACUUUACUGAUCGCAGUUGGCCUUGUGUCGGCGACGGAUCCUUCAAAUGUCUGCCCUAUCAAUUGUCGAUGGUAGGUGAUUUGCCUACCAUGGUUAUAACGGGUAACGGGAAAUCAGGGUUCGAUUCCGGAGAGGGAGCCUGAGAAACGGCUACCACCUCCAAGGAAGGCACAGGCGCGCAAAUUACCCAAUCCCGGCACGGGGAGGUAGUGACGAAAAAUACGGAUACAGGACUCGUUUGAGGCUCUGUAAUUCGAAUGAGUACAAUUUAAAUCCUUUAACGAGGAUCAACUGGAGGGCAAGUCUGGUGCCAGCAGCCGCGGUAACUCCAGCUCCAGAAGCGUAUAUUAAAGUUGUUGCGGUUAAAAAGCUCGUAGUUGGAUCUGGAUUGUAUGGCUAUAGGCCAGUGGUUUUGACUCAGGUUGCGACUGGGUUAUGACAAAUUGGUUUUGUGGCUGUGCAGUCUUUUUGCCGUGUCUGUUUCGACAGGUGUUGACGGACCAUGUGUUUGUUGACAUGCUUUCGUAUGCCCUUAACCGGGUGUCGGGGGCGGACGGCACGUUUACUUUGAACAAAUUUGAGUGCUCAAAGCAGGCUUUUGCCUGAAAAUUCUUGCAUGGAAUAAUGGAAUAGGACUUCGGUUCUAUUUUGUUGGUUUUCGGAUCCGAAGUAAUGGUUAAGAGGGACAGACGGGGGCAUUUGUAUGGCGGUGUUAGAGGUGAAAUUCUUGGAUCGCCGCCAGACAAACUACAGCGAAAGCAUUUGCCAAGGAUGUUUUCAUUGAUCUUGAGCGAAAGUCAGAGGUUCGAAGACGAUCAGAUACCGUCCUAGUUCUGACCAUAAACGAUGCCAACUGACCAUCCGUGGGCGCUCUAUAAUUGGCUCCACGGGCAGUCCCCGGAAAACCUGUAAGUCUUUGGGCUCCGGGGGAAGUAUGGUUGCAAAGCUGAAACUUAAAGGAAUUGACGGAAGGGCACCACCAGGAGUGGAGCCUGCGGCUUAAUUCGACUCAACACGGGAAAACUCACCCGGCCCGGACACUGUGAGGAUUGACAGAUUAAAAGCUCUUUCUUGAUUCGGUGGUUGGUGGUGCAUGGCCGUUCUUAGUUGGUGGAGCGAUUUGUCUGGUUAAUUCCGAUAACGAACGAGACUUUAGCCUGCUAAAUAGUAAACCUGUCCUCUGCAUUCGUGCAGGUAGCGGUCCUCAUUGCCUCUCAAGGGGUGAUGAGACUGUUAACCGGCGUAUGUGGUGCGGGUUGUUACUUCUUAGAGGGACAAGCGGCUCUAGUCGCACGAAAAUGAGCAAUAACAGGUCUGUGAUGCCCUUAGAUGUCCGGGGCCGCACGUGCGCUACAAUGACGGUUUCAGCGAGCAUGAAAUCCUGGCCCGAAAGGGUUGGGGAAACUGAAUCAUAACCGUCGUGACUGGGAUCGGGGUUUGCAAUUAUUCCCCGUGAACGAGGAAUUCCUGGUAAGUGCAAGUCAUAAGCUUGCGCUGAUUACGUCCCUGCCCUUUGUACACACCGCCCGUCGCUACUACCGAUUGAAUGGUUUAGCAAGGUCCUCGGAUUGGCGCUAAUGCAGCUGCUUCGGCGGCUCUAACGGUGCUGAGAAGGCGACCAAACUUGAUCAUUUAGA